rnacentral:rRNA from 1 species
UUAAGCAUAUCAAUAAGCGGAGGAAAAGAAACCAACAGGGAUUGCCCUAGUAACGGCGAGUGAAAGCGGCAACAGCUCAAAUUUGAAAUCUGGCGCAAGCCCGAGUUGUAAUUUGUAGAGGAUGCUUCUGGGUAGCGACCGAUCUAAGUUCCUUGGAACAGGACGUCAUAGAGGGUGAGAAUCCCGUAUGUGACCGGCCCGCACCCUUUACGUAGCUCCUUCGACGAGUCGAGUUGUUUGGGAAUGCAGCUCUAAAUGGGAGGUAAAUUUCUUCUAAAGCUAAAUACCGGCCAGAGACCGAUAGCGCACAAGUAGAGUGAUCGAAAGAUGAAAAGUACUUUGGAAAGAGAGUUAAAAAGCACGUGAAAUUGUUGAAAGGGAAGCGCCUGCAACCAGACUUCGCGGCAGUGUUCCGCCGGUCUUCUGACCGGUUCAUUCUCUGUCGCGAGGCCAUCAUCGUCUGGGCCCGCCGGAUAAGACCUUAGGAAUGUAGCUCACCUUCGGGGGAGUGUUAUAGCCUAGGGUGAUGCGGCGAGGCUCGGGCGAGGUCCGCGCUUCGGCAAGGAUGAUGGCGUAAUGGUUGUCGGCGGCCCGUCUUGAAACACGGACCAAGGAGUCUAACAUCUAUGCGAGUGUUCGGGUGUCAAACCCCUACGCGUAAUGAAAGUGAACGGAGGUGGGAACCGCAAGGUGCACCAUCGACCGAUCCUGAUGUCCUCGGAUGGAUUUGAGUAAGAGCAUAGCUGUUGGGACCCGAAAGAUGGUGAACUAUGCCUGAAUAGGGUGAAGCCAGAGGAAACUCUGGUGGAGGCUCGCAGCGGUUCUGACGUGCAAAUCGAUCGUCAAAUUUGGGUAUAGGGGCGAAAGACUAAUCGAACCAUCUAGUAGCUGGUUCCUGCCGAA